rnacentral:tRNA from 1 species
UUUAGGUUAGGAUAAUGAAAUCUGUUAGCUUUAGGAGCUGAAAAUGGUGAGUUUACCACUUUUUGCGU